rnacentral:rRNA from 1 species
UGUGAACUCGAAGAGUAGGGCGGGACACGUGGUAUCCUGUCUGAAUAUGGGGGGACCAUCCUCCAAGGCUAAAUACUCCUGACUGACCGAUAGUGAACCAGUACCGUGAGGGAAAGGCGAAAAGAACCCCGGCGAGGGGAGUGAAAAAGAACCUGAAACCGUGUACGUACAAGCAGUGGGAGCACCUUCGGGUGUGACUGCGUACCUUUUGUAUAAUGGGUCAGCGACUUAUAUUCUGUAGCAAGGUUAACCGUAUAGGGGAGCCGCAGGGAAACCGAGUCUUAACUGGGCGUUAAGUUGCAGGGUAUAGACCCGAAACCCGGUGAUCUAGCCAUGGGCAGGUUGAAGGUUGGGUAACACUAACUGGAGGACCGAACCGACUAAUGUUGAAAAAUUAGCGGAUGACUUGUGGCUGGGGGUGAAAGGCCAAUCAAACCGGGAGAUAGCUGGUUCUCCCCGAAAGCUAUUUAGGUAGCGCCUCGUGAAUUCAUCUUCGGGGGUAGAGCACUGUUUCGGCUAGGGGGUCAUCCCGACUUACCAACCCGAUGCAAACUACGAAUACCGAAGAAUGUUAUCACGGGA